GGACCGUUAGCUCAGUUGGUAGAGCAGCCGGCUCAUAACCGGUCGGUCCGGGGUUCGAGUCCCUGACGGUCCACCA
rnacentral:tRNA from 1 species